GACGAAGGUGGCGAGCGUUGUUCGGAAUCACUGGGCGUAAAGCGCACGUAGGCGGCUUUCUAAGUCAGGGGUGAAAUCCUGGAGCUCAACUCCAGAACUGCCUUUGAUACUGGAGAGCUUGAGUCCGGGAGAGGUGAGUGGAACUCCGAGUGUAGAGGUGAAAUUCGUAGAUAUUCGGAAGAACACCAGUGGCGAAGGCGGCUCACUGGCCCGGUACUGACGCUGAUGUGCGAAAGCGUGGGGAGCAAACAGG
rnacentral:rRNA from 1 species